rnacentral:lncRNA from 1 species
AGCAUGAGAGGCAAGAAGGUGCUGAGCUGUGAACUCAACUUCUCCUGGUAGGUUUGGUAUUAGUCAUCAUUUUCAGUGCCUGAUCACCUGAGAAAGCAAAACUAACAUGGCUCUGCUCUGAAUUCCCCAGAGGAGAUUCUCUAGGCUGUGUCUGGAAAAUCCAGUCUUUGGGAUGGAGGCAACUGAAUGUGGAAAGGAUGUUGCCAGCAAAGGCUGCGAGUGUUGUCUUUUUCUCCCUCCUGGACUGCACAGUAUCUUGGUUGUUCCUUGUCUUUGUACAUUGGAUUCUCCAGAGUUCUGCUUCACUGGAUGGACCCAUGACUUCCUUCUGCACAAUGGGAAUUGGGUUGGAGAGAGGCUGCUGCCGCCCCAUCGAUGCUUCCGGUCCAGACAAGAAGCCAUCUUUUUGGAGGGAAGGCUUGGAGAAGAUGCCCGUUAACUUUGGGUGAUGCCACCUCUCCUCAUGAGGGUUCUUUUACGAGGAAAGAACCAGAGAGGAUCCAGACACAAUCCAUCCAUGAAUAUACUUUCUGCCAAGCCGGCCAAGGCCACUCAUUUGCCUGAAGAAAUUGGAAUAAUUAUGGUAGAGAGAAAUCGACAGUACUCAGGAUUUGGCUCUCAAAAUAGGAUCUUGUUUCAAGGCAAUCGGCUUGAGAGCAGGUAUUAUGGAGGGAUCCAAUUUGCUAAAUUCCCUCAUUUUCCACCUUACUUAUCGUGAG